UGGCUAAGUCAUAUUACAAGUAUUACUGUAUUGAACGUUUCAGCCAUCAUCUGAUUAAUUUUUGUUCUUUUUGAAAUGGAUUUUUUAAUACAAAUUUUUUAUUUUCUUAGGACGAUUGCAUCUUUUCUACUAUAUGAUUAUAUAACUAAAAUAAAUAUUGAUCUGGCAAUGAGUAAUAUCUUAAUAAUCAAAGUGCAACUUAUUAGAU
rnacentral:sRNA from 1 species